UACAGAGGUCUCAAGCGUUGUUCGGAUUCAUUGGGCGUAAAGGGUGCGUAGGUGGUGCUGUAAGUCAGGUGUGAAAUCUCGGGGCUCAACCCCGAAACUGCACUUGAUACUGCAGUGCUCGAGGACUGGAGAGGAGAUUGGAAUUCAUGGUGUAGCAGUGAAAUGCGUAGAUAUCAUGAGGAAGACCAGUGGCGAAGGCGGCGUUCUGGACUGUUUCUGACACUGAAAAACGAAAGCCAGGGGAGCAAACGGGG
rnacentral:rRNA from 1 species